rnacentral:rRNA from 1 species
AGCGAACGCUGGCGGCAGGCUUAACACAUGCAAGUCGAGCGCCCGUAGCAAUACGGGAGCGGCAGACGGGAGAGUAACACGUGGGAACAUACCUUUUGGUUCGGAACAACCCAGGGAAACUUGGGCUAAUACCGGAUAAGCCCUUACGGGGAAAGAUUUAUCGCCGAAAGAUUGGCCCGCGUCUGAUUAGCUAGUUGGUGAGGUAACGGCUCACCAAGGCUACGAUCAGUAGCUGGUCUGAGAGGAUGAUCAGCCUCACUGGGACUGAGACACGGCCCAGACUCCUACGGGAGGCAGCAGUGGGGAAUAUUGGACAAUGGGCGCAAGCCUGAUCCAGCCAUGCCGCGUGAGUGAUGAAGGCCUUAGGGUUGUAAAGCCCUUUCGGCGGGGAAGAUAAUGACGGUACCCGCAGAAGAAGCCCCGGCUAACUUCGUGCC